CCCAUGAGGCACGUGUUCAGCUGGGGCUCUGGAGCAGGUCUGAUUGCCCCUCAAGAAGCCAUACUGAAGGAAAAAGGUUCUAGAAGUGAUCAUUACAGAGGUGACUGCAACUUACCUCAAGAGAGGGCUGCCAGGACUGUCUUCCUGUCCAGCACUGCUGAUAACCAGGACUAGCUGUCUUCCUGUCCAGCACUACAAAUCACCAGCUUCAGCACCCUUCUGUUAACACCAGAAGUAGCCUUGCAUUUAUGAGACAGCCAGAAGGUGUGCCAACAUCCAGGUAUCCACAACUUUUCUUUGAUGAUCCUGGCUUGAGGCAGUGACAUGAACCGAUCCACCCGGGAGGGUCUGUUGAGUGGCU